rnacentral:rRNA from 1 species
CGGUGGAGCAUGUGGUUUAAUUCGAAGCAACGCGAAGAACCUUACCAGGUCUUGACAUCCUCUGACAAUCCUAGAGAUAGGACGUCCCCUUCGGGGGCAGAGUGACAGGUGGUGCAUGGUUGUCGUCAGCUCGUGUCGUGAGAUGUUGGGUUAAGUCCCGCAACGAGCGCAACCCUUGAUCUUAGUUGCCAGCAUUCAGUUGGGCACUCUAAGGUGACUGCCGGUGACAAACCGGAGGAAGGUGGGGAUGACGUCAAAUCAUCAUGCCCCUUAUGACCUGGGCUACACACGUGCUACAAUGGACAGAACAAAGGGCAGCGAAACCGCGAGGUUAAGCCAAUCCCACAAAUCUGUUCUCAGUUCGGAUCGCAGUCUGCAACUCGACUGCGUGAAGCUGGAAUCGCUAGUAAUCGCGGAUCAGCA